UGUCUCGGUUAUACAAUUUGAAUUUAACUUUUAAGUGAAAAGGCUUAAAUAAUCUAAGGGGACGAUAAGACCCUAUAAAGCUUUACAAUAAAUUAAAUAUAUUAAAAUUUGUUAGUGUAACUUACUAUAUUUAGAGUUUGUUUCGUUGGGGCGACGAGAAUAUAAUGAAUAACUGUUCUUUUUAAAAAUAAACAAUAAUAAUUGGUUAAAGAUUGAUCCUUUAUUAAAGAUUAAAAGAUUAAGUUACUUUAGGGAUAACAGCGUAAUCUUCUUCAAGAGUUCAGAUCGACAAGAAGGGUU
rnacentral:rRNA from 1 species